GGCGCAGACACAAAGGCAAACAAUCCCAAACACAGGCUUUGCCCUCCUUGUACGUUGAGACAAAGGAAGCAGAAAUGAGCCUGGGAUCACAGUCUGCGCUGAGCAGCAUGGAGCAAACAGGGCGUCCCCUUCUCAGUGACAGAGGGACUUGGGCUGACCAACCGUCUUGGCUUCCCUGGGACUGUCCCAGCUCAGCACUGAAAAUCUCAUGCCGAUGAAAACCCCCGCAGGCCUGGGCAGAUGGGAACCUUGGUCACUCUUGCAGAAACUUGAGUCAGAAAUAAAGCAACUUCUCCCAGGCCAUGUGGAAAAGCCAUGUGUGAACCAGAGGAACAAGUACAACAGAGCCGCUGAGUACACCCCAACACAGAGGAGCCAGCGCUCACCGAGAGAUUUGCCAAGUGGAGUCCUUUUGAGACAUCCAAAUUUCACUGUCUUCAACUUAUUAAUGUGAAACAAAGAAUAACGUAUAUGUGUGUGUAAACACGAAUAGUAACAGCUUAUAUUUGUAAACAAUGUGCCGUGCGCCCAGCACUACAUUAAGCAGUCUCCAUGCAGCACCUCCAUUAAUCCUGGGGAGCACUGUACCCACUUCAAGAGGCCUUUAGAAGAGCAAGUAACAAAAACUGGUGGAAAAAAAGCACACAUUCAACAGGAAGCAACAUCUAGAGACCUUUCUGCCUUCCAGGAUACAAAAAGAAAACAGUUCAUAAACAACUUACAUCUAAACCAGUAAUGUUGUCUCCCUGGCUCAUAGGAGCUGAAGAAGAAUUCCAGUUACUGUAGUAAGAAUAUAAGGAUGUGGACUGGUUUGAGGAUGCUUGAGGCAUGACUAUAGCAAGUACUGCGCAUACAUAUGUGGACAUCGUAAGACACACUCUCUGCUUCCCCAGGCGAAAUCUGAAUUCCAUGAUCUACACACAGAUGACACCAAAAUCGGAACAGCAAUGUCCACCCUUCUCCCGAGCCCUAGGUCGGUGCCUCUGUCCACCUGUGUCUCCUGAAACUUCAACACAGACUUCAAAUGGAGUGGCAGAAAACCAGAUUCCUUAGGGAAAGGAAGGUCUCCCAGACGGCAGGAGCGGCAGGCCUUAGGGGCAGCCGCAGGGGCUCGGGAGUCUGAACAUACCCGGUUUGAAUUCAGACUCUGGCACGCCCCAUGCGAUCAUAACAUAGUGCUGCACGUCUCAAGCCACCUAUAAAAACGGGGACAAUAACAAUAUCUGCCUCGGGGUUAAUGGUGAGGACUGACUGUGUGUGUCUCGCUCAGGACCAGGAGCAACAAAUGUUGGCUUCUUCCCCGGCAAAGACCCGCGCUUUCUCCUGGGCUCCGGGUUCCCGGGGUGGGGGUGGGCGCAGUCCCGAGGGCCCCAGGCAGUGGCGCAGUGGUUAGACCCCAGCCUCUGGAGUCGGCCUCGGUUCAGAUUCUGGUUCUACCCUUCUCCUCUGUGGCGAACCAACCCUCCGAGCUCUAGUUUACUCGUGUGAAAUGGACUAGCCAAAAUUGGGAUUUUUUUUUUUUUUUAGGAUUAGAUGUGUCGGUCCAUAGACGUUGCUGGCCACAUAGUUAAGUGGUGCGUUCACUCACUGGGCAUUGAUGGAGCGCCUACUACGUGCCAGGCCUGUUUUACGCGCCGGGGGCCCAGAGGCGCCCAGGUCAGACAAAGUGUAAACGAUUCCGACCAGAGCCCUUCAAUCUGCAUUCCGCUUCGCAGGAAACUCUCCUCCUUUUAUGAUUUUCAGCCGGACUGCCUUCCCUGUUGUUAGUUUGUAACUUUCGCUCCGGCCCCCGCAGCCUCGCGCCUGCCUUCCCUCCACUGUCCUCAGCCAAGGUGUAGUAAAGCGUCUCCGAACGCGGCGCGACCCUCGCCCACGCCCGCUCGCG
rnacentral:lncRNA from 1 species